CUGAGCUUAGGAGGCGUGGACCGGAAGUGGCCGGAGAUUGGCGUAGGUAGAGCGGGUCUCCUCAAGGUCUAACCACUGAUGUCUCCAGGGGCGCGGGGCUCUGAGCCUCUUCAGGAAACUUCCAGGCCUGGAGCCCAUUGGUCGCUGCAGACUCAGGGGACCGAAGUUAGGACCGAUCGGCCCCUCUAGGCAGGGUUGGCAGUAUCUGUGGAAGGAACAAAGCCCAACUCAGUUGAUGCAGAAUUCUACUGCCAGGAUCGAGGUGGAGGACGGAAUGCCAAUAGUCAACUAGGCCUGCUGUGAUGAUCCUGGGCCGAUUCAGUAGUCGGAGAUGGCAGUUGUCUGACCUAGAAGACAGUUGCGUUUGUGAGAGCGUGUGAAUGGACGCCAGAGAGCCAGGAUUAGGGGAUGAAGGCGUUUAGAUGGAAACCCAAGAUUGAGUCAAUAUUACGGAGAAGAUCCACCUCUUAGCAGCAUCCCAGGACACUUGGAUAGCCUGUCCUUGGUUCUCAGCUUUUAUCACCAACUGCGACCUCUUCUGUGGACAGGACAUACCCUGCAGUCUUAUCACUUUCUGAAAGGCAUGGAUUGCGCCCUGUUCCUGAAGUUCUGAAGUUAUCGCUACAGCUAACCGGUUUGUCCUUCGCUUUCUGCUGAGAAAGCAUGCCCUGCGUGAAAUGAUGCAGUUUAAAUAAACUAAGUUUCCCUAGUCA
ensembl:lncRNA